rnacentral:rRNA from 1 species
UACGUAGGGGGCAAGCGUUGUCCGGAAUCAUUGGGCGUAAAGAGCGCGUAGGCGGCCCGAUAAGUCCGCUGUGAAAGUCAAGGGCUUAACCCUUGAAUGCCGGUGGAAACUGUCGGGCUAGAGUCCGGAAGAGGCGAGUGGAAUUCCUGGUGUAGCGGUGGAAUGCGCAGAUAUCAGGAGGAACACCAAUAGCGAAGGCAGCUCGCUGGGACGUGACUGACACUAAGGCGCGAAAGCGUGGGGAGCGAACAGG